rnacentral:rRNA from 1 species
UCUUAGUGGCGCACGGGUGCGUAACGCGUGGGAAUCUGCCUCUUGGUUCGGAAUAACAGUUGGAAACGACUGCUAAUACCGGAUAAUGACGUAAGUCCAAAGAUUUAUCGCCGAGGGAUGAGCCCGCGUAGGAUUAGGUAGUUGGUGUGGUAAAGGCGCACCAAGCCGACGAUCCUUAGCUGGUCUGAGAGGAUGAUCAGCCACACUGGGACUGAGACACGGCCCAGACUCCUACGGGAGGCAGCAGUGGGGAAUAUUGGACAGUGGGCGAAAGCCUGAUCCAGCAAUGCCGCGUGAGUGAUGAAGGCCUUAGGGUUGUAAAGCUCUUUUACCCGGGAUGAUAAUGACAGUACCGGGAGAAUAAGCUCCGGCUAACUCCGUGCCAGCAGCCGCGGUAAUACGGAGGGAGCUAGCGUUAUUCGGAAUUACUGGGCGUAAAGCGCACGUAGGCGGCUUUGUAAGUAAGAGGUGAAGGCCCAGAGCUCAACUCUGGAAUUGCCUUUUAGA